rnacentral:lncRNA from 9 species
ACACCACCUCCACACAGAGAGCAGUUGUCAUAGCUCAGAGCUAAUGAGUGCCCCAAAGUGCCCAGUGCUGCGAUGAUGUCACAUUCAAUCCCCACUUCUUUUUUUUUUUUUUUUUUUUUUUUUUUGGCCUGGAGCAGUUUCUCCCCAGAGAUUGAACCCACGCCACAGCAGCGACCCAAGCUGCAGCAGGGGCAACCCGGAUCGUCAACCCCAGAGCCACCAGGCAACUCCUUCACAUCUCUUCUUUUCUCUGCACUUUACAAAUGAGGAAACUGAGGCACAGGGGAAGCAACUCGCCCGGAACCACCGAAGUCAGUACGUGGAAGAACUGGGAUUCACACCGCGCUCUCCCACUGCACGCCGCUGCCGCUGCUGCUGCUGGUGCUGUGCCAUCUGGACCUGAGCCUUUGCUCUCUUUGCAUCAGGGUCCAGAGAAGCAGGACAGCUCGCCCAGGUCACGACACUGAAUCAGAGGCUCAGAACCCAGGCUUCCUUACUCCUGCCCUGGACACAGCCAGGCCUGACUUACCAACCAGCAGCUUCCCAGGCAUGACCUCAGAGGGCCGGUUCUGGGCCCAGCUCCACCAUUCAUCGCCGAGAAGAACCGCGCCCCAUCUCUGAGCCUCGGUUUAUCAACUCUAAACCAUAAAGAGGAAAGACACUUGGCUGGCAGUGCUCACUUCUGGGGGGGCCAGUGUCUCCAUCCGUCACUGCCACAAGCCUUUUACGAACAAAGAUGGGACAUUCUCCGUCCUAAAGUGACCUUGGAGAUGUUUGGGCUGCUCCCCCAAGGUGAGUGCCAGCACUCCUGGGGGAGCGGGGGGAGGAAGGUGAGGCUUAUCCGUGGUUGUCUCCCCCUGUGUUGUGGGAGCAGGAAAAGGAGCUUCUGGACCCCGAGCCCCUGAAUCACUCUGCUCUCUCCAGAGGCUUCUGCAAAUGAGCCUCAACACCCCCAGUCCUUUUCCACCCAAACCAAGGAACUGAAGUUUUUGGAAUCAGACUGAGUGAGAAAGUCAUGAGUCCAAUCGUCUGGUCACUUAAAGCCCAGAGAGGUACAGGAUCUUGCCUGAGGUCACACAGUCAGCCGAGACUGAGGCCUGAGCUCAUCUAACUCCCUAAGGUACCAAGGGUCGGUGACAGAGGCAGUGCUGUUCUCAGAUGGCCUCCAGCACCCCCCAGCUGACAUCAGCCACAACCUGCACCCACGGCCACCACCCCCAGACGGUACCAGAUCCUGGGCACCUGCGGGCUGAGGGCCUGGGCUGGGCUGAGCGCUGCAGGCCAGACAGGGAGGAGCCAGACACAGGCCUGGCCCUGAGGACUCACUGCCCCAUGGAGGAGGGGAGAAAAUGACCAAAAAGGAAAGGGGACUCCACUAAAGAUUGUGCUGUACACCAGGGACAGACAGCGGUAAGCAGAACACAUACGGUCCUGCCCUGUAGAGAAAUGUCCUUUUAAUGUCACGCCUAAGUGCAGGUGAUGAGUGCUUGGAAGGGAAAGCUCAGGGACAGCGAGUUCCCCUAACGGGCCAGGGGAUCUGGUCUGGGCAUUGGGGAAGCCUUCCAGAGGCGUUAACAUCCACAGAAACAGGAAUUCACCAGACUGGGGCUGGCCCGCCAUCGGGGGUGGCACUCCUAGCAGUGGCAUCUGUGAAGGGGAAGCCUCUUGGGAGGGAGGCAGCUGGGAACCUUCAAAUCACUAGGAGCAUCCCCCAUGGGAGGCAUGAUGGCCCUACCGUGAAAGGCAGACCCGGAGGAGCUGGCAGCCAGAGAUCACACAGGUGCCUGCGAGGCACGAGAAGGAAUUGGAAUCUGAACCAAAAAGCAUCAGUCAGCCCUGGACGGCAACUGCAGCACGGGCAGUGUUUUCAAAAGAUCCCAUCAGCCACAGUGUCCUGUGAGAGCAGAGAGAGAAGCCCAGCGAGGAGGCCGCUGGCACAGUCUGGGGGCGGAUGACAGCUCAGACAUGGCAGAGAGAUGUGGGCCCUGCAGCUGGAAGGAGCACCCACACGCCCCUGUGCUGGUCCCGCUGGGGAGGUGACAGAGGGAGCAGGAGGGGUCAGGCUGACUCGGUCCUGGGGAUGGGCCCCUGGCUGGCUGCGGUCACCGGCACAGACACCUGACCCCCACGUUCUGUUGGGAGGCUGUUUGUGUUUUAAGGCCUGGAAGGGAAGAGACUGAGUAGGCGGUAGGGUGUGCGGUUCUGAGCUGAGAGGAGAGAGACGUGUCGUGGCAGAGAGAGAGCAGACGUCAAGGCCACGGUGAGGCGGUGCGAGGAAAGAGGACGGCGUAGAAAGAAAAGCAGGAUAAAGGGAAAAAGCCCUGGGGGAGGAGGACGAGCCAAAGACCCAAGAGAAAGCCGCCGGAACAACAGAGCAGAGCCCCAAAGAGGGUUCGGACAUUAACGCUCCAGGCCUUCGCACAAACUCCUCUCUAUCUGAGAUCCUUCUUUUUUUUUUUUUUUUUUUUCUAUUUCUUGGUCCGCUCCCAUGGCAUAUGGAGGUUCCCAUCAGAGCUGUAGCCACUGGCCUACACCAGGGCCACAGCAACGCGGGAUCCAAGCCACGUAUUCGACCUACACCACAGCUCACAGCAACGCCAGAUCCUUAAUCCACCGAGCAAGGCCAGGGAUCGAACCCUCAACCUCAUGGUUCCUAGUCGGAUUCGUUAACCACUGAGCCAUGAAGGGAAUGCCUAAAAUCCUUCUUCAUCCAACCAGCCUGUGCCUGCUCUUUCAAAGGACAGCCGGGUCCAGGGUCCUCCAGGAAGCAUCCUUAACCCUUCUGCUCUGAGGAGACGAGGUCCUCAGGCUUCCCCAAGCCUCCUGGGCAGGAGCCCGUGGUGGAGGCAGCAAAGCUUUAGAGCUGGACAGGCUGCCUCCAAAAGCCUCCGUCCCCUCAGCUGUCAGAGGGAAUCAGGACUCUGCGGGGAUUCUGUUUCCCCUCAAGAUCAAAUGAUAUAAAGCAUAUGAAACCUAUACUGGUAAUAGGACUCAAUAAAUAGAAGCCGCAGCUCUCUUUGCUCU